GGCCGUGUGGCGAAAUGGCAUCGCGUCUGACUACGAAUCAGGAGAUUGUAGGUUCGACCCCUACCUCGGUCA